rnacentral:rRNA from 1 species
UACGUAGGUGACAAGCGUUGUCCGGAUUUACUGGGCGUAAAGAGCGCGCAGGCGGUCGAUCAAGUCGAGUGUGAAAGCCCCCGGCUCAACUGGGGAGGGUCAUUCGAAACUGGUCGACUCGAAGGCAGGAGAGGGUAGUGGAAUUCCCGGUGUAGUGGUGAAAUGCGCAGAUAUCGGGAGGAACACCAAUGGCGAAGGCAGCUCGCUGGGACGGUACUGACGCUGAGACGCGAAAGCGUGGGGAGCAAACAGG